UACAGAGGGGGCAAGCGUUGUUCGGAAUUACUGGGCGUAAAGGGCUCGUAGGCGGCCAACUAAGUCAGACGUGAAAUCCCCAGGCUCAACCUGGGAACUGCGUCUGAUACUGGUUGGCUUGAAUCCGGGAGAGGGAUGCAGAAUUCCAGGUGUAGCGGUGAAAUGCGUAGAUAUCUGGAGGAAUACCGGUGGCGAAGGCGGCAUCCUGGACCAUAACUGACGCUGAGGCGCGAAAGCUAGGGGAGCAAACGGG
rnacentral:rRNA from 1 species